rnacentral:rRNA from 1 species
GACGUAGGGCGCGAGCGUUGUCCGGAUUUAUUGGGCGUAAAGAGCUCGUAGGCGGCUUGUUGCGUCGACCGUGAAAACCCGGGGCUCAACUUCGGGCUUGCGGUCGAUACGGGCGGACUUGAGUGUUGCAGGGGAGACUGGAAUUCCUGGUGUAGCGGUGAAAUGCGCAGAUAUCAGGAGGAACACCGGUGGCGAAGGCGGGUCUCUGGGCAACUACUGACGCUGAGGAGCGAAAGCGUGGGGAGCGAACAGG